rnacentral:rRNA from 1 species
AUACGUAGGGGGCAAGCGUUAUCCGGAUUUACUGGGUGUAAAGGGAGCGUAGACGGUUCUGCAAGUCUGGAGUGAAAGCCCGGGGCUCAACCCCGGGACUGCUUUGGAAACUGUGGAACUGGAGUGCAGGAGAGGUAAGUGGAAUUCCUAGUGUAGCGGUGAAAUGCGUAGAUAUUAGGAGGAACACCGGUGGCGAAGGCGGCUUGCUGGACAAACACUGACGCUGAGGCUCGAAAGCGUGGGGAGC